rnacentral:rRNA from 1 species
CUACGGGGGGCUGCAGUGGGGAAUAUUGCACAAUGGGCGCAAGCCUGAUGCAGCCAUGCCGCGUGUAUGAAGAAGGCCUUCGGGUUGUAAAGUACUUUCAGCGGGGAGGAAGGGAGUAAAGUUAAUACCUUUGCUCAUUGACGUUACCCGCAGAAGAAGCACCGGCUAACUCCGUGCCAGCAGCCGCGGUAAUACGGAGGGUGCAAGCGUUAAUCGGAAUUACUGGGCGUAAAGCGCACGCAGGCGGUUUGUUAAGUCAGAUGUGAAAUCCCCGGGCUCAACCUGGGAACUGCAUCUGAUACUGGCAAGCUUGGGUCUCGUAGAGGGGGGUAGAAUUCCAGGUGUAGCGGUGAUAUGCGUAGAGAUCUGGAGGAAUACCGGUGGCGAAAGCGGCCCCCUGGACGAAGACUGACGCUCGGGUGCGAAAGCGUGGGGAGCAAACAGGAUUAGAUACCCAAGUAGUC